CAGCAAGUGAGUGGUGCUGGGGUGCUGGGGAGGACCGUCCUGGCCAGCAGGGGCCUCACAGUCUAGUAAUAAGGACACAGCAAUUACAGGAACUUCUAGAGCCAGUUCUCUUCAGGAGCAUGCCAGGCUGAAGCUUUGUCCUAUGGAGAAGCAGAAAAGGUCAGAGGAGGAGAAAGAAAGAGCCCUUCCCGGUCAAGGAGCCAGCCAGGGAGGGAGACAAAAGGAAGGAGGCUCCAUGGAGAUGCAAUGUGAUUAGCUGGCCUUCUGCUCUGACCACCGUGACUUCCCUGCCUGAAACCAUGUCUUCCCCUCCAUGAUACAAGUCACAAGAUGAAAUAAAUCCUUCCUUCCCUAAAAUGGGUAUUUUUGUCUCAUCAACAAGAAAGUUAACUUAUGUAAAGCUGGCUCUAGGGAAGUCAUUAGGAUUUGAUGAGGUCAUGAGACUAAGGUCCUGGUGAUGGUAGUAGUGGCUUUUGUAGAAGGAAAGGAGGAGGAGAAGGAGAAGGAAGAAGAGGAGGAGGAGGAGGAAAAGGAAGAGGAAAAGGAAGAGGAGGAGGAAGAGGAGGAGGAGGAGGAAAAGGAAGAGGAGGAGGAAGAGGAGGAGGAAGAGGAGGAGGAUCCAUGCUGUCUCACCACAUUGCCCCCUGGUUAUACUAUGAUGUUUCAGAUGAGUCUUCAUCAGAUGCCAGGCAGAGCUGGCACCAUGCUUGGGCUUUCAGCCUCCAGAAAAAUAGCAAAAGAAAUUUCUAUUCUGUUCUCUUUUCCAGAAAAACAAGCAACAACAAUAAAACCCCACAUUUGUUCUAAAGCAAUGAUAGAUAAAGAGAAACCUCUUCUUUUCAUAAUGACAACAGAUAAACACAGAAAGAAUAUGGAGUUCUUUUAAAAAAUAAAAUCACAAAUUUGCCAACAUUCUAAUAAAAGUUAUUAAGAUACAGGAUCAUCAAAUGAUACUAAAUCUAGGAAGGGCAGGUGUGAGGAGCUACAGAAUUGUCAAGACAAUAUCAGCAUUUCUUAUAAAACAGUAACUGGGAGAAAUAGUAACUAGACAAUGCAGAAAAUAGACAACCUCUUUUCUGUGUGAUGGAAAUUAACACCAAUAACAAGGACUAUUCUGCUCAUCUGAGCUUGGUACCCAGGGUUGCAUCACUUAAUAGUAUUCUCACCCACACCACACAAUCCAAAUCUACCCACGAGGAAACAUCAGGAAACUCCAGUGAAGCUGAUCGUCUUCAAAGACAUCAAUACAACAAAAGACUGGAAAGGGCAGAGGAAUGGCUCCAGAUCAGCAUCAUGACAGCACAAUCUACAAUCCCAGACUGGAUCCCGCCUCUGAGAAAUUACCAGCAGAGCAAAUGAAAUCGGAAUAGAGACUGCAGAUCAGAUGAAAGUCCCGUCUGAAUGGGAGACUGCAGGAUUUAUAUGCUUCAGUGAGACUGUGUGCUUGCUCUUGUGAAGUGCGUGUAUAGUAUUAAAGUGUGGAGGGCUGGGUAUCUGUACUAUCUCUCAAAUGAGUUAUAUAGAAAGGUUAUAUAUCAAGGAAUAGAAAGUUAUAAAGCAAACACAGGAAUCAUCAUCAAAAAAAAAAGAAGAUAACAUGUGUAGCAAUGAAUGUUUUCUUUUCUUUAAUUUUCUCCCAAACAAGCAUAUCCACACUGACAUGUAAGUGUGUAUUUCUGGAGUACAAAAACUUUCAGUACUACCCAAAUCCUCCAUGUAAGGCAAGCAGUGAAAAUAUUCCUUAGGGGUUGGUUGUCAACAUGUGUAUAAAGGGCUAUGUCUUUCCCAGGAAGCAUAGUACUACAGCUUCCAUAUAUUUUUUUAUAUGUAUGCACAAACUUCUGCACUCACGUGUAAUUGUUUCCUUUUGAUGGUGAUAGUCUCUAAGUUUUUGUCAUUUCCAUGUUUGCUUUGCUAAAGCUUGUGCUUGGCUUCAAUGCGGAGAUCAUAUUUUCUCUUCAUACCUUCUCUCUGGAGCAGUGUCUGAAAUGUGUGUUCUCAGCUAGCAGACUCAGUUUGUGAGUCAUAGCAUUAACAUAAUGUGAUGGUUGUUUCCUGCAGUGCAGUACCAAUGAAGACCUGCAUAGGAGGGCCUGAGUCUGCUCAUUGGACCAACUUGUGAGAGGAAAGUAUUCAGGGGCACCUCUGAAGAUAGCUGUAUGAAGAUGAGGAAAACCCCACAGAUUUCACAAGCAUCUCUACAAGACUUCCUGUUUUCCACUUCUCCAUUUGUCAGACUCAGCCCAUUAACUGUGGUUCAGUUUUGGUCCAAAGCUUUCUAUCGGACUCCUCUGCUAGCCAAGGAGUACAGUCUUAUCUGAAUCCCAGAGGCACAUGCCCUGAGUAUCCCACCACUUGAAGAUUGCUAGUGAGGUCAGAGGUGAUAUUAGCAAAUGUGAUUUUCCAAUACUGAACCAUGAAAUAUGUCACCGUUUGCAAAAUAAGUGCAGCACAGGUAACCGAUAUUUCCAGGUGAUCAAUUCAUGAUGUAAAAUUCCAUCAAAGAAUAAGACGGAUCAAUGGAUUUUAAUGUAACAGCAUAUUAAAAGGUUUCCAAGCUGUAACUCAAUUUAAGAAACUACCAUUUGUUGAAUGUUGCUAUAAUUUCCAUGAAAGCCCACACUUAGCAGAAUGCAAUCAAAGCAAAUAUCCCUCACUUUUCUACCUCCUUGACUGCGUGAGGCCAUGUUGGAUUCGUAUACUCAUAUAAAACAAUAUGACAACAGACUAUCUAAACACCUCUAUAGCCACUGAGCUAAUUUCUAUUAAGAAAGACACUAAAGGGAUUUUUGAAAUUGGAAAACUCAGCAUCCUGGGCAUUGUGGUGUGCACACCUACAUGGCAGCAGCCAGCACUUGGGGAAUGAAGGCAAAAGGUACAAGGCCAGCCUUGGGCUAAUAAGGAGAGUUCAACUCUGGCCUAGGUCAUAUAAUACCUUGUCUCAAAACAAACAAAAGAUCAAAAAAAGUAAAAUCAGGUUGCUG
rnacentral:lncRNA from 1 species